AUGGGCAACACGUGCGUCGGCCCCAGCAUCGGCAAGAACGGCUUCUUCCACUCCGUCUCCACCGUGCUCUGGACCAGGCGCCCCGACGGCGAAGCCCUGCCGCCCGCCAAUGGAGGCGUCGCGGACCGGGCGCCGCCGCCGGACGCGCCGCUGGCCGUCCACAUCGUAAGCAAGGCGCCCGAGCCCGUCAAGAUCGCCUCCGGCACCGCCAACGCCAAGCCCGAUGAGGCGGCGCAACCCAAGCCCAAGGCCAAGCCGCCGGCACAUCCCAAGCCGGCCGCCCCCGCCGCCGCCAAGGAGCAGGAGUCCAAGGCGUCCACGGACUCGUCCAGCAGCUCCGGCUCCGGCGGCGAGGCCAAGCCGCCGCACCACCGGCCCAAGGUGCCCCCGGUCAAGCGCGUGUCCAGCGCCGGCCUGCUGGUCGGCUCCGUGCUCAAGCGCAAGACGGAGAGCGUCAAGGAGAAGUACAGCCUGGGGCGGCGGCUCGGGCAGGGCCAGUUCGGCACCACCUACCUCUGCGUCGAGCGGAGCAGCGGCAAGGAGUACGCCUGCAAGUCCAUCCUCAAGCGCAAGCUCGUCACCGACGACGACGUGGAGGACGUGCGCCGGGAGAUCCAGAUAAUGUACCACCUGGCGGGCCACCCCAACGUCAUCUCCAUCCGGGGCGCCUACGAGGACGCCGUCGCCGUGCACCUCGUCAUGGAGCUCUGCGCCGGCGGCGAGCUCUUCGACAGGAUCGUGCAGAAGGGCCACUACACCGAGCGGAAGGCCGCCGAGCUCGCCAGGGUCAUCGUCGGCGUCGUCGAGGUGUGCCACUCCAUGGGGGUCAUGCACCGGGACCUCAAGCCCGAGAACUUCCUCUUCGUCGAUCAGACGGAGGAGGCCGCGCUCAAGACCAUCGACUUUGGUCUCUCCGUCUUCUUCCGGCCUGGUCAAAUAUUCACCGACGUUGUCGGAAGCCCCUACUAUGUCGCGCCGGAAGUGCUGAAGAAGAAAUAUGGCCCCGAGGCAGACGUGUGGAGCGCCGGUGUGAUCAUCUACAUUCUGUUGUGCGGUGUGCCGCCAUUUUGGGCAGAGAACGAGCAGGGCAUAUUCGAAGAGGUUCUACACGGGAAACUCGACUUCGAGUCAGAUCCAUGGCCCAGCAUCUCCGAAGGCGCCAAGGAUCUCGUGAGGAGAAUGCUCCUCAGGGACCCCAAGAAGAGACUGACUGCCCAUGAAGUUCUACGGCAUCCAUGGGUCCAGGUUGGCGGUCUGGCUCCUGACAAGCCUCUGGACUCUGCUGUUCUAUCCCGUAUGAAGCAGUUCUCGGCCAUGAACAAGCUGAAAAAGAUGGCUCUCAGGGUGAUUGCGGAGAACUUGUCCGAGGACGAGAUCGCCGGCCUCAAGGAGAUGUUCAAGAUGAUCGACUCGGAUAACAGCGGGCAGAUCACGUACGAGGAGCUCAAGGUGGGGCUCAAGAAGGUGGGCGCCAACCUCCAGGAGUCCGAGAUCUACGCGCUCAUGCAAGCCGCGGACGUGGACAAGAGCGGGACGAUCGACUACGGCGAGUUCAUCGCGGCGACGCUGCACCUGAACAAAGUGGAGCGGGAGGACCACCUGUUCGCGGCGUUCCAGUACUUCGACAAGGACGGCAGCGGCUACAUCACCCCCGACGAGCUGCAGCUCGCCUGCGAGGAGUUCGGCCUCGGCUCCGACGACCUCAGCCUCGACAACAUGAUCAGAGAAGUCGACCAGGACAACGACGGGCGCAUAGACUACAACGAGUUCGUGGCGAUGAUGCAGAAGCCGGCGCUGGGGCUGGCGAAGAAGGCCGGGGCCGGGCUGGAGAGCAGCUUCAGCAUCGGCUUCAGGGAGGCGCUGAGGAUGGCUUGA
rnacentral:rRNA from 1 species